GGGAGUGUGGCUUAGUGGUACAGCAUUUGUCAAUCAUGUAUGGGUCCUGGGUUCAAUCCCCAGCACUACUA
rnacentral:tRNA from 1 species